CCAUUGAUGAGGGAGGGCUGGAGGACGGUUAUGCCCUAUACCUUUAACAGGCAGCAGGAGGGAGACCUUGUUGAAUGGUACCAGCAGAAUACCAUCCUGUACAAUAAAGAAAAAGAGAGAUCG